GCCCCUCGCCCCACAGCGUCCUCCAGCAGUCUCUUCGCUCUUCAAAUAAAGCCCCCAAACCCCUCCAGCUCCCGACCGAAGAUGUGUAAAAUGGCAAUGUCCACCUAAUGUGAAGGUGAGCCUGGAGCCAAGGACAGGCAAAGCCUUAACAGCAGGAAGUGAGAACACCUUUAUUCCAGCCUGUGUCAGACCUCUGGGAAAGUGGCCCCUGUCAUUACUUGCUUUCAAGUUUCCUGCUGCCAGUCUACAUAAAGCCUCUCUAGUCUUGAGCUGGGCUUGUUGCUUUUCCCUGUGCAAACUUCUGGAGCACCAGCUGUUGCCACCAUUUUCUGACUAUAUUUGAUUGAUUCCAGCAAGUAUCUCUGGACUUAUCCUCAAGCAGUUUCACUGUAUUAGAAUUUCAGUGGAAGGUAAAACGCCCCAAACAAGGCAGUUUGUUGCUGUCUUGCAUCAGGCAAUGUCAGGACUGUGCUUCCCAGCACAUGAGACAGAACUGUGGGAGUGCCCUGGCUCGAGGCGAACUCUCAUGUCAGCCUGGGGAGGGUGGCAUGUUUGCCAGCUUAUGUAAAGCAUUGUGAUCAGAGCUUUCAGUCCAAAUAUUCCAGCCUUUCUACAGAUUCAGUUGCUGAUGCUAUUUUAGGGGACCUGAUGUCUCUGGGGGAUGACUCAUUGAAGUUCAUUUGUAGCUGGCCAGCAUUAAUCCAGACUAACAGAGUCGUUUUCAAAUGUUUCUUUGCAUAAGAAAAUUGCUUAAGCGUGUGUUUAACUGUGGAGCUUGGCUGAAAGAACCUGGUUAACUCUGUCCUGUGGCACACACGGAGCACCAGCAGCCUGAAAGCUGCUGAUGCUCUUUAGUAGCCCAUCAAUAGACCAGCUCAUGGGCUCUGAGUGUAUCUGCAGGGUGAUAGAACCACCUGGAGACCUUUUCCAAGGAACUUCAGCAAGGAACACACACGGAGUGAACCUAGCUCAGGUUCUUCCUCUGAUGAGAAGCGUCUGAGCCAGGGAACGGAGAAAGCCGUUCAUGAGCACCUUCACAGGGCAUGAGUUUUCUAUUUGCUUUGCUCUUCGAGCCAGCAGUCUAGGAAAAUUGCUCCUGAAUGAAGCAACUUCCAGCUCAAGGGACCUGCUGGUGGUGUGGCUGGAAGAGGGCUCUGGAAAACACAGAUCAUCUCCUGGAAAUAACUAAAAGAUCUCUAACUUGAAUUUUGGCAUGUCAGAGCCUUUCUGGGCAAAACUACUGUCUCCAUUUGCUUGUUUACCUUCACUGUAAUCCUUGGUAAAAUAAUGAUGGGAUUUGGACUGCAAGCACAAGGGUUGCAGGGUUGAAGUGUCCUUACUUGUGGUAGUGAUCUGGAGGGAGUGUGGUCAGCAUGUGCCAGGUCUUUCAGGUGUGUGUGCACAUCUUUGUAUUUCAGGGAUGAUGUUGCUCAUCAUCAAGCAGAGGGGUGUUCACGUUUAAACACUCAGCAGGAGCUCCCAGAGGCAUUUGGUAGAGCUUUAGCAUGUGCACAAAGAAGACAUCUAGGGUAUUUUCACCAGCUCUAACAACUCAGCCCAUAAGGAACCUUGAUGCUUUGGGGGGGCCGAAGCAGGCUGGUGUAUGGCAGGAUGCUUUUGGAGCCACAAGGACACAUUCCAGUGCUCUUCAAAGCACAGGAUAACUCAAUUCCAUAUCCCUACCUUCCCAGCUAGACCACCACUCAUCAAUGCUGCCAUCGAAUGGUUUAGCAGGUGCAUGUGCUGGAUUAAUUUCUCCACAAAGAUGGGGUUUAACAGAAGGGACCUCUUCAGCUGGGAGAGCACGUGUGAGGGAAUUGAGGCCUGGGAGACUUGGAGUGAGCAGGCAGCAGUGAGAAGUAUUUAAACUUAUGAGAGUGGAGUUUAAGGCAAAAAGCUCGAAGUGAGAUGUGUUAAUCAGUGUGGAGGAUUUGGGGUCCUGACCCAAGCUCAGCCUGGUGGUGUUUCCACUGUUGAUGUUAUCACAGAGCCUCUUCCCUUGUGGGUUAUCUCCAGCUCGCACAGCUUUGGGGUGGUGAUCCAAGGGACUGUUCAGCCCAUGAUUAUGGUUGAGGUUGUUAAGGAAUGUGCAGACACCCAAAAUCAAACCCUAGGCAUUGAGAAAUCUUCUGGAUUUCCUUUCUCCCAGCGUGGGAGCUCUGUGUGUCUCUGGUGAUGGAGAAGAAAGGCUUUUUCCAGAGAUCCUGCCUGCCUCAAGGAAUGUGGGAGCAGGAAAGAGUCUGGGUGGGAUGGGAGGUUCAUCCCGAAUCUGCAGGCGGUUUGUGGUGUGGGGCAGCAGCACUUUCACAGCAUUUUGGUAUCACGAAUCAGGGCUUGUCACGAGGAGAUGCUGCAAGUUCUUGCGGAGGCUGAGUACAUGUGGCUGCUGUCCCUGGCUGCUCCCAGUCACGGCUGUGGGGCUGACUUGGAAUCAAUCAGAGCCUGUGGAUGGGCCAUGACAAACUCCCUGUGCCCACAGGCGAUGCUCCCAUAAAUCCUGUAAGCAUGUGCUUAACUUUGGAGAGCAAGGUGAUUGCAAGGCAAUAUUUUAUUCUUGUCAGCUUCAGUGUUAACAAUUACGAGAAUCACUUGGGUAAUUAAACUCUUGCAAGAAUAAAGUGAAAAAGCACCAGGUGUCUAUGGAGAUCUAAAUCAUUUUUCAGAGUGGGCAGAAGAGCAGUUUUUGGCUUUCCUCGGUAGCUGGAGUCCUGAAAUCCACAGAGACAGCACAGAUCCCCUCCAAAUGAGCUAAAGGCAGCAGACCUGCUUUUUUCAGGUACCUUUUGCCAACCACCUACAAGAAGCUGGUGGGUGACCAGGCCUUUG